AUCCCCAUUUUUACACCAAAUUUUCAACCUUUUAUCCCUAAAAUCCCCAGUUUUAACCCCCAAAUCUCCCUCUUUAAACUCCAAGACUCCCAUUUCUGACCACAAAAAUCCCCAUGUUUAACCCCAAAUUCCCAGUUUUUAACCAAAAUCCCAACUUUUGACCCCUUAUUGCUAGACAUUUUUGUACUCAUUUUUUUUUCCUUUAUCCCAGUAUGGGAACUGUCAGGUCCCAGCCUGAGCUGGUGAUUGCACACCUGCUGAGGGGUGUAGCCAACCCUGCCAGCACAGGUGGAAGCCGUUCACCUGUGGGAUUGGAGAGGUGAAGCCUGGCUGCAUCCCUCCCUGGGCUCAUUGAAGGGCUGGCAGCUGUAGGGGCAGCAUCUGUACCUGGAGGCUGUUUCCUUUGGAGUGUGGGGUGAGCCCUGGACCUCAGAAAGGAAAAAGAAGGGAUUGUCCUCUUCUGGACCACUGUAGUCGGGAUCACCCCAGCUGUGGGACCCGAUGGUGUGACAAAGUGAGGCCUCUGGUCUGCCAAACACAGAGCUGAUCAGCACGUGGAAUUCCCCACCUGCCCCAACAGUGCCCUGAUCUCCAAACUCCUUUGCGUCAUCGUGUCUCACAGUCCCAGGCGUCUCACUGUAGCGCUGCUGGUGGCAGCAAGGAACUGUGGUGCUCCUGGGCAGUGCCAGAACUGCACGGAGAUCUGUGGCUCUUCAUGAAGUCAGCAAGAAAUGGAAAGCUGGAUUCCCUAGAAUGCCCUGGAACCUGACUUUGCUGACUGGUAACUCACUGCCCAUACGGGUAAGGGCAAUGUACACCUACCAGCGUUUACCCAUUCCGUAGCGUGGCUCCACGUAAUGCUGCCAGAGCUUGUUACUAUGCUUAAAGGUUCCCUACAGGCUGCUGGUCCUCCUCCUCCUGCUUUCUCCUUGCCUCUGGCCUGUCUAAUCUAAUCCCGACUAGUCACCAUAAGAGUGCAACUCAGAGUGCAGUACAACUCGGAACCCAUUGAGGCCCUGCACUUGCAGACCCUACACCUACACUGUAGUGCUGCUGCUCCCACCCCUGUCCCUCUCGUCUCCUGGGCACCAUUUCUAAACUAGCUCUGCAGCUCUGGAACUCGAUGCUUUGAAGAAGGAAGGCCCUCAGACUCAACUUA